GACGAACGCUGGCGGCGUGCCUAAUACAUGCAAGUCGAACGCUUCUUUCCUCCCGAGUGCUUGCACUCAAUUGGAAAGAGGAGUGGCGGACGGGUGAGUAACACGUGGGUAACCUACCCAUCAGAGGGGGAUAACACUUGGAAACAGGUGCUAAUACCGCAUAACAGUUUAUGCCGCAUGGCAUAAGAGUGAAAGGCGCUUUCGGGUGUCGCUGAUGGAUGGACCCGCGGUGCAUUAGCUAGUUGGUGAGGUAACGGCUCACCAAGGCCACGAUGCAUAGCCGACCGGAGAGGGGGAUCGGCCACACUGGGACUGAGACACGGCCCAGACUCCUACGGGAGGCAGCAGUAGGGAAUCUUCGGCAAUGGACGAAAGUCUGACCGAGCAACGCCGCGUGAGUGAAGAAGGUUUUCGGAUCGUAAAACUCUGUUGUUAGAGAAGAACAAGGACGUUAGUAACUGAACGUCCCCUGACGGUAUCUAACCAGAAAGCCACGGCUAACUACGUG
rnacentral:rRNA from 1 species